rnacentral:rRNA from 1 species
AUUGAGCGCUGGCGGCAUGCCUUACACAUGCAAGUCGAACGGUAACAGGUCUUCGGAUGCUGACGAGUGGCGAACGGGUGAGUAAUACAUCGGAACGUGCCUAGUAGUGGGGGAUAACUACUCGAAAGAGUGGCUAAUACCGCAUGAGAUCUACGGAUGAAAGCGGGGGAUCGCAAGACCUUGUGCUACUAGAGCGGCCGAUGGCAGAUUAGGUAGUUGGUGGGAUAAAAGCUUACCAAGCCGACGAUCUGUAGCUGGUCUGAGAGGACGAUCAGCCACACUGGGACUGAGACACGGCCCAGACUCCUACGGGAGGCAGCAGUGGGGAAUUUUGGACAAUGGGCGCAAGCCUGAUCCAGCAAUGCCGCGUGCAGGAUGAAGGCCUUCGGGUUGUAAACUGCUUUUGUACGGAACGAAAAGCCCUGGGUUAAUACCCUGGGGUCAUGGCGGUACCGUAAGAAUAAGCACCGGCUAACUACGUGCCAGCAGCCGCGGUAAAAC